rfam:Schistosoma mansoni strain Puerto Rico chromosome 3, complete genome
AUCCAGUUGACGAGUCUCAAAUAGGACGAAACGCGCAUCCUGGAU